GCCUUUUUCUUAUUGGUUGGGUACACAAUGUGAGCAACUACUAUGGUUGUUAGAGGAGAUAAGGGACAACCUGGUGAUAGAAGUGACUCUUGUAACUGGAGGUUGCAGGUGUAUGACUAAUCUCAAUUGGGAAGAACAAUGAUGACAUCCAUUUGCGCUGUAUUUAUAUUCUUGUGGCUGCACCUGGAUUUGGUGAAUGGAGAGAAUGUGGAGCAGCGUCCUUCUACUCUGAGUGUCCAGGUGGGAGACAGCUCUGUUAUCAACUGUACUUAUUCAGACAGUGCCUCAACCUACUUCCCUUGGUAUAAGCAAGAACUUGGAAAAGGACCUCGGCUCAUUAUAGACAUUCGUUCAAAUGCGGACAAAAGGAAAGACGGAAGAAUGACUGUUUUAUUGAAUAAGGCAGCCAAAUAUUUCUCCCUGCACAUCACAGACACCCAACCUGGAGACUCAGCUCUCUACUUCUGCGCAGCUGGUGCACAUUGCUUCCCAGGCACCUGCUACCCGUACUGAAA